AUUGAACGCUGGCGGCAGGCCUAACACAUGCAAGUCGAACGAGUGGCGGACGGGUGAGUAAUGUCUGGGAAACUGCCUGAUGGAGGGGGAUAACUACUGGAAACGGUAGCUAAUACCGCAUACUAUCGGAAGUGCCCAGAUGGGAUUAGCUAGGUGGUGGGGUAAAGGCUCACCUAGGCGACGAUCCCUAGCUGGUCUGAGAGGAUGACCGGCCAAACGGGAACUGAGACACGGUCCAGACGCCUACGGGAGGCAGCAGUGGGGAAUAUUGGACAAUGGGCGAAAGCCUGAUGCAGCCAUGCCGCGUGUAUGAAGAGGGCCUUCGGGUUGUAAAGUACUUUCGGCGGGGAGGCGUUACCCGCAGAAGAAGCACCGGCUAACUCCGUGCCAGCAGCCGCGGUAAUUC
rnacentral:rRNA from 1 species